AUUGAACGCUGGCGGCAGGCCUAACACAUGCAAGUCGAGCGGAGCGGCGGACGGGUGAGUAAUGCCUAGGAAUCUGCCUGGCAGUGGGGGAUAACGUCCGGAAACGGGCGCUAAUACCGCAUACUAUCAGAUAAGCCUAGGUCGGAUUAGCUAGUUGGUGGGGUAAAGGCCUACAAAGGCGACGAUCCGUAACUGGUCUGAGAGGAUGAUCAGCCCCAAUGGAACUGAGACACGGUCCAUAAUCCUACGGGAGGCAGCAGUGGAGAAUAUUGGACAAUGGGCGAAAGCCUGAUCCAGCCAUGCUGCGUGUGUGAUGAAGGUCUUCGGAUUGUAAAGCACUAUAGGUUGGGAAGCGUUACCAACAGAAUAAGCACCGGCUAACUUCGUGCCAGCAGCCGCGGUAAUAC
rnacentral:rRNA from 1 species